CCUACGGGAGGCAGCAGUAGGGAAUAUUGCUCAAUGGGGGAAACCCUGAAGCAGCAACGCCGCGUGGAGGAUGAAGGUUUUCGGAUUGUAAACUCCUUUUGUUAGAGAAGAUAAUGACGGUAUCUAACGAAUAAGCACCGGCUAACUCCGUGCCAGCAGCCGCGGUAAUACGGAGGGUGCAAGCGUUACUCGGAAUCACUGGGCGUAAAGAGCGCGUAGGCGGGAUAGCAAGUCAGAUGUGAAAUCCUAGGGCUUAACCAUAGAACUGCAUUUGAAACUGUUAUUCUAGAGUAUGGGAGAGGUAGGUGGAAUUCUUGGUGUAGGGGUAAAAUCCGUAGAGAUCAAGAGGAAUACGCAUUGCGAAGGCGACCUGCUAGAACAUAACUGACGCUGAUGCGCGAAAGCGUGGGGAGCAAACAGGAUUAGAUACCCGUGUAGUC
rnacentral:rRNA from 1 species